AUGUUAUUCCCUAUGGUGACGUCACUUACCUUCCUUCCUCCCUCCGCUGUGAAACCGUCAGUCUUCACGCCAUUAAGAGCCCUGUCUGUUUUAUGUGAUUUCGUGGGAUUUAGCCGCUGUAAAGACACGCCAUGCAGAUCAGAGAGAAGUACACCCGAUGGCAGGCCGGACCCUAUCUCUCCUUCGGGGGCCAAGUUGUGAUUUGCUUGGCAGGAGCCGAGGUGCGGAACACUGGAGGCUGAGUGUGACGCUCCUUGUUGGCCGCUAUGAUGAUGAUGUGGUUUGGCUACUACCAGCUGAGAGGCCACAGCAUGCUUUCCUGAAGACCGGCCAGCAACCCGGACUCUAGAGCAGUGGUUUGCAUUGGUUGGUGUAGCAGUGCCGGGAGGUGACAUAACACUCCCCUCAACAACAGUCUCUUCACCGACAAGUAAUUCUUCACCAACAAGCUUUUCAGCAGCUUGGAGAAAUAGAGACAAGAGGAGAAGAAGAAGAAGAGGAAGAGGAGGAUGACUUUGAAGACCAGCAGACAGACAGAAAGACAUUGAAUUGAAUGGCUGGCGUCUCGGUCUGCCUGCCUGCGGGACACCGCACACUCUGGAACAAGAAAGAACACCAAGAUGUCAAGUUCCUGCAGAAUCAGCCUCUUAGUGAAGGAAAUGUGCUCUAUUUAUUUAAUAAAUGAUUGACAAAAAAAUAAUUUUGUAUUUAUUUU